ACCUCCCCUGAGGAACAAACAUAUUGAGGUUAUGUACAGAGAGAGAUCCCCCACCUCCCCUGAGGAACAACCAUAUUGAGGUUAUGUACAGAGAGAGAUCCCCCACCUCCCCUGAGGAACAACCAUAUUGAGGUUAUGUACAGAGAGAGAUCCCCCC